UCCCUUGUGGCUCAGAUGGUAAAGCGUCUGACUACAAUGCAGAAGACCCGGGUUCAAUCCCUGGAUCGGGAA
rfam:TPA: Bos taurus chromosome 22, whole genome shotgun sequence.